rnacentral:RNase_P_RNA from 1 species
CCAGACGGUUGGACGGCCGCCUUCGGCGCCCUUUGCGGCGGCGGGGGAGGAAAGUCCGGGCUCCACGGAAACAUGGUGCCGGGUAACGCCCGGCGGGGGCGACCCCAGGGAAAGUGCCACAGAAAGCAAACCGCCCGGCCAUCGCCAACGUCGCCUUCGGGCGACGGCGGCCUGAUCGGGCAAGGGUGAAAGGGUGCGGUAAGAGCGCACCGCGCCCCCGGCAACGGGGGCGGCAUGGUAAACCCCACCUGGAGCAAGACCGAAUAGGGGCGGCAUGCCGGCAUGCGGUUUCGAUCGCGCCGCCGGCCGGUCGGUUUUCGGGCUGCCGCCCGGGUAGGUUGCGCGAGGCGUCCGGCGACGGGCGUCCCAGAUGAAUGGUCGUACAGGGCUGCCGAAUUCCGGGGCAACCCGGGGACAGGGGCGGCGGCCUGGACAGAACCCGGCUUACAGACCGUCUGGCGCC